rnacentral:rRNA from 1 species
UACGAAGGGUGCAAGCGUUAAUCGGAAUUACUGGGCGUAAAGGGUGCGUAGGCGGUUCGUUAAGUCUGUCGUGAAAUCCCCGGGCUCAACCUGGGAAUGGCGAUGGAUACUGGCGAGCUAGAGUGUGUCAGAGGGGGGUAGAAUUCCACGUGUAGCAGUGAAAUGCGUAGAGAUGUGGAGGAAUACCGAUGGCGAAGGCAGCCCCCUGGGAUAACACUGACGCUCAUGCACGAAAGCGUGGGGAGCAAACAGG